CUUUAAAUGUCAAUGUUUUUCGCAAUUUUUCAACGAAAACAUUUCGUCACUAUAUUUGUUUCUCAUGAUACCGUAGAAACUCCGUCCGCAUAUCUCGGAAAUCGCCAGAUCGUAUUAACACGCACGUCUGUAAAAUACUAAUGUCAAUCAUUAAAUAUCGAGUCUGUGCGAUUAUUUUUAACCGAAUUACGACAAAAUCGAAAUUAACGAAAUCACCGUUUUUUUUCCAUAGACUUUCCUGGUAUUAUUCCCAAUUAUUGCGAAAACUACUCGGAAAAUAAAAAAAACCACUUUAACGCGCCGAUCGGCUACGGAUUUCCACAGAACAAUUUUAUGCUGUCGUUUUUCGAUCACGAUUUCCGGUAAAAGUCGUUCACAAACACACGUACACACAAAGAGCUCGUAUACUGCCGGACGGGCGUGCCGCUGUUUUAGGCGGGAAUUCGAGAAGGUAUUAUAGGA